GGUGAAGGAAAUGCAGGUGAAUUCUGCCCAUGUGCAGAGGACUGCCAGGUUGAGGCAGGCUGGGGUUGUUAGAGCAAGUGCAAGCUCAAAUAAGAAAGAGCUGUGGCUUUUAUUCAGAGCUCGGCAGAAUUCCUGUAGCUCUUUAGUUACAUUCUCUGUGUCCUGAAGUCUUCCACCAUUCAAGGCCAUGGGCAAAAUUUUAGUGCUAUGAGAGAUUAUAUAAAGCCAGAUGAUAUUUUCUGAGAUUUCUCUGCAGCCUCCCAGAGUGAAGACAAUAGUAAAAGGCAAGGAUGUGAUAACAUUGGGUUUGAUGCCACCUCUUCUCAUUGUUUUCUCCUAGCUCAGAUGUCACCUUCUCAGAAAGGUCCUCCUGGAUUUCCCUGUCUAAGGUGUGCCCAAAUUCCAUGGCUCUCAUCUCUCACCAGCCCAGCACAUUACCUGGUUUUCUCUCCUUUCUCUUUUCACAGCACUUGUCACUGUUUGACAUUAUCUCCCUCACUAGGACGAAAGUUCCGCGAAUGAUGAGACAUGGACUGUCUCAGUCACCUCUGUAUGCCCUGGACGAAGGAAUGGUGCUGACACAGAGGCUGCGAAAGAGUUUACCUCCUAAAGGAGAGCUGAAAAUGAUAUGCCCAUUUCACGCUUUGCCGGACUUCACUUAAGCUAGGAGUGGCUAUGUGACCUACUUCUAGGAAGAAGAGAAAGUCUGCUAGAUGGCUUCUUAGAAAGAUUUUUCUCCUUUCUAAAAGGAGAGGGGCACAUGGGAGAGUUUGCUCAUCUGUUCCUGCUCUCUGUGGUUGUCAUGUGAAGUAAAGUGAUGCUUGCAGCUGCUUGAGUCAUCCUGGGACAGUGGAAAUAAACACUGCCAACAAUCUGAAGAUAGGAGAGGAGAAAGAAGAGUAUUUGAACGCUUAAUGAUGCUGUUAACUAGUGAAACCAACUUUGGGGAGACCAUCUUUGGGAUUUCUUACAUAAGAAAUCAUUACUCGGGAAGCAGACUUGGCCCAGUGGAUAGGGCAUCCGUCUACCACAUGGGAAGUCCGUGGUUCAAACCCCGGGCCUCCUUGACCCGUGUGGAGCUGGCCCAUGUGCAGUGCUGAUGUGCACAAGGAGUGCCGUGCCAUGCAGGGGUGUCCCCCGCGUAGGGGAGCCCCACACGCAAGGAGUGCGCCCGUAAGGAGAAGCAGCCCAGCGUGAAAGUGCAGCCUGCCCAAGAAUGGCACCACACACAUGGAGAGCUGACGCAGCAAGAUAAUGCAACAAAAAAAGACACAGAUUCCCAUGCCGAUGACAACAACAGUAGCGGACAAAGAAGAACACGCAGCAAAUGGACACAGAGAACAGACAACUGGGGCGGGGGGGGGGAGGGGAGGGGAGAGAAAUAAAUAAAUAAAUAAAUAAAUAAAUAAAUAAAUAAAUCUUUUAAAAAAAAUAGAAUGCCUGAACGUUCCUGUCACAGUGUUACAGAUAAAAGUGUUAAAAAAAAUUACUGUCUAAAUCAUUUUAAUUCUGUUACUUGCAGUCAAAAGCAUUUUAAUUGAAAAAUAUUAUUAGACUGUUGAAGGAAUUCAGAUAUCUUCCUGGUGGUUUAGAAACAGAACCAUGCUAUGUGUGGGACUUGGAAAUAGCAUUCAGGGGGCCAUGCUGGCUGGCCCCCAAACUCUCUCAAGAUAUUGCUUUAUCAUUCUGCUUUCUAGAGACAAUUUCUAAAUAUGUGCUUGAAAGCUGCUUUCCCCAGAGUCUCUUACAUUCUUUAUAAUCACUUUCUUGGGGGCUCCAUUGAUUAGAACAGAAGCUGGUAGGAAGUAUCAACUGCAAUUCUCUAUCAGGUAUUCCAGCUGAUGUAUUUACUAAACGUUUUGCAGGCUCUAUCUAAGCCUGAGUUCCCUUCUCAAAAUAGGGUAAUAGUUCUUUCCUCAUAAGGAAGUUGGCAGAAAUAAGUGAAAUAAAUAUAUCUAUAUUACUUCUCCAGAACUUGGCAUAUAAAUGCUUGGCACUCGAUAAAUCCUAACAAAAUAAUAUAUUAUAUAAUAGUGUUGCCAGGUAUUGUUCAAAAUGAUGACGUUCUACUGAUGAACAGAAUAGAUUCAAUCACUGCCCUUUUAUAGGGUUUACACUCUAGUACUGGAGAGUCACCUGGGGGGCUUUUUAAAAGUAGAUAUAACAUGGAGGUGAAGAAGGUCAACCACCACACCAGGGAGCCAAGAGUGCCUACAACUGAAAGCAGGAGAAUUGCAUCCAGCAUCCACGUGGAAUCUAAGCCCCCUCUUAAUAUAGAUGUGGAGUGGACACAACCAUUCUAAGGUCCACAGGAUGGAGGAAUAGAGUAUGGGUUAGAGUGAACUUACUGAUAUUCUAUUCCUGAACUAUUGUGAUUAGUAAUCAAAGAAAAAGUGGCAUUGGUGUGGAGAAAGUGGCCAUGGUGGCUGCUGGGGGUAGGGAGUGGGAGGAAGAGAUGUGAUGUGGGGGCAUUUUCGGGGGUUGGAGUUGUCCUGGGUGGUGCUGCAGGGACAGUUACUGGACAUUGUAUGUCCUUCCAUGGCCCACUGAGUGAACUGUGGGAGAGUGUGGGCUAUGAUGUGGACCAUUGACCAUGAGAUGCAGCGGUGCUCAGAGAUGUAUUUCCCAAAUGCAAUGAAUGUCUCAUGAUGAUGGAGGAGGUUUUUGUUAUGGGGGGAGGAGUAGGGUGAAGGGGGUGGGGGGAUAUGGGGACCUCAUAUUUUUUUAAUGUAACAUGUAACAUUAAGAAAAUAAAGACAAAUAAAAAAGAACACACAAACACACACAAAGUAGCUGUAUAAUUAAAGAGUUCUAGAUUGGGACCCUGAAUCUAUUAUUUUUUUUUAAACUUCCAGAUAAUUCCAACAGAUACCCAGGCCUGAGAACCUCUGUAACACAAUACAAUAAGAAAUACAUAAGGGAAAGUCCAGCUUACGAUAUUACAGGACAUACGGGGGAGAAAGGUUGGGUAGGAAGUAACUCCCACAUUGAAACCAAGAGAUAUGGAGUUAGUGAACUAAAGAAU
rnacentral:lncRNA from 1 species